rnacentral:rRNA from 1 species
CGGAUGAUUCUUAACUGACUGAGCGGCGGACGGGUGAGUAACGCGUGGGUGACCUGCCCCAUACCGGGGGAUAACAGCUGGAAACGGCUGCUAAUACCGCAUAAGCGCACAGAGCUGCAUGGCUCGGUGUGAAAAACUCCGGUGGUAUGGGAUGGGCCCGCGUCUGAUUAGGCAGUUGGCGGGGUAACGGCCCACCAAACCGACGAUCAGUAGCCGGCCUGAGAGGGCGACCGGCCACAUUGGGACUGAGACACGGCCCAAACUCCUACGGGAGGCAGCAGUGGGGAAUAUUGCACAAUGGGGGAAACCCUGAUGCAGCGACGCCGCGUGAGCGAAGAAGUAUUUCGGUAUGUAAAGCUCUAUCAGCAGGGAAGAUAAUGACGGUACCUGACUAAGAAGCCCCGGCUAACUACGUGCCAGCAGCCGCGGUAAUACGUAGGGGGCAAGCGUUAUCCGGAUUUACUGGGUGUAAAGGGAGCGUAGACGGCAAGGCAAGUCUGAUGUGAAAACCCAGGGCUUAACCCUGGGACUGCAUUGGAAACUGUCUGGCUCGAGUGCCGGAGAGGUAAGCGGAAUUCCUAGUGUAGCGGUGAAAUGCGUAGAUAUUAGGAAGAA